rnacentral:rRNA from 1 species
GAUGAACGCUGGCGGCGUGCCUAAUACAUGCAAGUCGAGCGGACAGACGAGGAGCUUGCUCCUUUGAUGUUAGCGGCGGACGGGUGAGUAACACGUAGGUAACCUACCUAUAAGACUGGGAUAACUUCGGGAAACCGGAGCUAAUACCGGAUAAUAUUUCGAACCGCAUGGUUCGAUAGUGAAAGAUGGCUUUGCUAUCACUUAUAGAUGGACCUGCGCCGUAUUAGCUAGUUGGUAAGGUAACGGCUUACCAAGGCAACGAUACGUAGCCGACCUGAGAGGGUGAUCGGCCACACUGGAACUGAGACACGGUCCAGACUCCUACGGGAGGCAGCAGUAGGGAAUCUUCCGCAAUGGGCGAAAGCCUGACGGAGCAACGCCGCGUGAGUGAUGAAGGUCUUCGGAUCGUAAAACUCUGUUAUUAGGGAAGACAAACGUGUAAGUAACUGUGCACGUCUUGACGGUACCUAAUCAGAAAGCCACGGCUAACUACGUGCCAGC